AGUGAGCGGCAAAGCUCAAUUUGAAAUCUGGUACCUUCGGUGCCCGAGUUGUAAUUUGGAGAGGGCAACUUUGGGGCCGUUCCUUGUCUAUGUUCCUUGGAACAGGACGUCAUAGAGGGUGAGAAUCCCGUGUGGCGAGGAGUGCGGUUCUUUGUAAAGUGCCUUCGAAGAGUCGAGUUGUUUGGGAAUGCAGCUCUAAGUGGGUGGUAAAUUCCAUCUAAAGCUAAAUAUUGGCGAGAGACCGAUAGCGAACAAGUACAGUGAUGGAAAGAUGAAAAGAACUUUGAAAAGAGAGUGAAAAAGUACGUGAAAUUGUUGAAAGGGAAGGGCAUUUGAUCAGACAUGGUGUUUUGUGCCCUCUGCUCCUUGUGGGUAGGGGAAUCUCGCAUUUCACUGGGCCAGCAUCAGUUUUGGUGGCAGGAUAAAUCCAUAGGAAUGUAGCUUGCCUCGGUAAGUAUUAUAGCCUGUGGGAAUACUGCCAGCUGGGACUGAGGACUGCGACGUAAGUCAAGGAUGCUGGCAUAAUGGUUAUAUGCCGCCCGUCUUGAACAAC
rnacentral:rRNA from 1 species